UCUGAACCCAACUCUCAGAGGCACCUGAACUUGGCCUAGAACUUCCUGGCACCGGGAACCCCUCCUUCCUAAAAUUCCAAGACUAUGACAAGUUCUCCCUGCUCACCCCACCCCUGGGCAAUGGUAUUGCCUCUUUCUCCUGUCACCCUCACCAAGAAUGUCUCAGGUGAUGGGCAGAGAAGGGAAGUAGCAUUCUGGGAAGCUGGGAGAAGUGGGCACUUGGCUUCUGUACUUAUUCUCUCCGAGCAACCCAGUAAACAGGGGUGGGCGCUAUUUUAGGGAAAUAAGAUCAAAUGUGGAUAUCAAUUCCCUUAGCUACUUUUGACUGUGUACUUCUAUCUAUUUUGGUGAAUGCCGAUGAUGGUAACACUACACAUUACUAAGCACUCUGGGCCUGAAAUUCAAUCAUGAGUUUGGCACUAGAAGAAUGAUUGUGAAUUCCUAUAGGAUAGAUGGUUGCCUAGCAACCAGAGUUUGAGGGCAAACACAGUAUCAGCUAGGGCACUAUAUACAAGGGAAUAAAUCACCGUUUGGUUGCCUUUGAAAAGUGUGAACUCCAGAAUCUUAUGAGCAUUUCAAGGGUCCCUCACUCUCCAAAUAUUUAUAAGUGUCAAGGAACAUGGCAGGCAAAAAAUGUGCCUGUGAACUACACAAGAAAGUGAUCUCUGAGAGGGAGAAUUGCAUUGCUCAGAUUCCACGACCACAAAAACCUUUAUAAAGGAAAUUCUAUAUAACAAAAAGAUUCUCAAAGCCCUGCUAAUGAUAGCCAAUGCUGGCCACCAAAUUCCAGGUCAACAGAAGAAUUCAGACAAUCCCACAGGGUUUAGUCAAAACAGGACUUGCCCUAUAAGAGCUGCACUUUUGUGGGGUGGAGGAGAAAAGUUGCUGGGAUGGUAUUUUUAUUCAAAAUCAUUGAAGUCCAGUGGCAGGGCAAAAGUCAACAUGACUGGUAAUGGCCCAGGAUGCAGCGAAUGAUUUUGGUGUCUUUGAUGUCUGACCAAGCUCUUAACUCUGCAUAGUGCCUGCUUCAGCCACCUUCAUGGCCCUUGGAACAAAUUGUUCUCAUAUGCCCAUUCCAACAGGUAAGUCUUCACAUGUUUGAGGUAGAUAUCCCUCUAGUCACUGAUGGGUUGGAGACCUGUUGUUUACCUUUACCCUGGUUUAGCCCAUCUGCCCAGAUGGUUUUACCCAGCUGUGACUACUGCACAUGCUACAGCUUCUUGGAGCCACAGGUAAGAGCUGGGGGGUAGGGGGACACUAAAGGUGGAUGCACAGCAAGCCCUCACACCAGAAGUGCUGGUCCUUCCAAUUACCCUGUAUACCUCCCUGUACCCUAAAGGCAAUAAAGAGUCACUAAGGAUUUUUUAGUAGAGUACA
rnacentral:lncRNA from 1 species